rnacentral:rRNA from 1 species
CUCAGAAACUUAAAGGAAUUGACGGGGGCCCGCACAAGCGGUGGAGCAUGUGGUUUAAUUCGAUGCAACGCGAAGAACCUUACCUGGUCUUGACAUCCACAGAACUUGGCAGAGAUGCCUUGGUGCUUUCGGGAACUGUGAGACAGGUGCUGCAUGGCUGUCGUCAGCUCGUGUUGUGAAAUGUUGGGUUAAGUCCCGCAACGAGCGCAACCCUUAUCCUUUGUUGCCAGCGGUCCGGCCGGGAACUCAAAGGAGACUGCCAGUGAUAAACUGGAGGAAGGUGGGGAUGACGUCAAGUCAUCAUGGCCCUUACGACCAGGGCUACACACGUGCUACAAUGGCAUAUACAAAGAGAAGCGACCUCGCGAGAGCAAGCGGACCUCAUAAAGUAUGUCGUAGUCCGGAUUGGAGUCUGCAACUCGACUCCAUGAAGUCGGAAUCGCUAGUAAUCGUGGAUCAGAAUGCCACGGUGAAUACGUUCCCGGGCCUU